rnacentral:misc_RNA from 1 species
GGAACAUCAGAAACAUUGAGGUCCUUAUUUAAUAAAGAAUGUCAUAGGUUACACGUUAAGAUCAUCAAUGUCUGAGUCAUUAACAAAAGUAUAAAGCCUCUACAGUUAUUCUGCAAAGAAUGAAGGGAGAGGGGAAAAGAACAAACAUGUAGGGGUGAACUGAUAUCAGUAGUAAUUCAUGUAAUCAGCUACCAACAUCCAUCUUUAUCGCACUUGCUUCCAUUUCUAUCCAGAUCACAGAACAAGAGUUGCCCAUGGAGGAGAAUCCAUGCCGAACCUUUUAAACUUCAGAGGACAAAUAUAAGUAACGAGUUGUACAUAGAUGUCUGAACAAAACCAACCAAAAUCACACUGGGAUUCUUCAAGUUCAUGUGCCCGUGUCAAUAACCAAGCAAUCCUGAACUUGGCAUUGUGUGAGAAAAUUACGGUUGACAGUCAAAUUAGCUUGCAUAUGGUGUGUUUUAUGAGAACCAUCCUUCAGCUACUUUUCUCGCUGUGUAACAUGGCUGAUCAGAGAUUCCAAAAUUAAUACCAUUGAUUACCAGGUCCACCUGGUGCUGCAGCUACUUUUCUUGCUAUGUACUGUUCAGGUUUAGGCUGCACCCCAUUUGAAACUUCAGUACUAUCUUCACCCCUUUCAUUUUUACAGCUGGGAUGUCUUCUAGGGUAUGAAGUAUUGGAAAUGGGAUAUUGAGUUGGACCGCCAGGGUUCCUUGCAAUUCUUCGCUGUUCAAUGACUUCUGCUGCUGUAGCUGCUGCUCCACAGUUGUUGUAGCGCAACACUGAGCUGACCACCCUCCCAGGUCUUGCAGCACCACCUUGAACAUUCUGAGGAACUUGGAGAGGCAGCCUUGUCAUGGGGAUCAUUGAACUCCGGUCCGCUUGUGGUUUCUCAUCUUCUUUGAUGGAGCACUUAGAAAGAUCAUUUGCAACUUCAAGUGGAUUUUGCACUGAAUUGUCUGAGUAUAAUACACAAGCCCUAGGUAGAGAUGAUGAGUGCUGCCUCUCAGGUGGAGC